GUUGAUUGGCUCUCAACAGUCGGAAGCUGAUAUAACCCCGGGGAAACGAUUGCGAUUGCGGAAAUGGUUGCGACGGCUGAGAGUUCAAUACCUUAGACUUGCGGAUGACCCAAGACUAUGAUAGCUACCAUUGUUCCCAGAUGGAGAUUAACUGAGAUGGGUGCCAGGCUGCAUCAAUUGAGAAAAUUCCUCAUCAGGAGCUCCCUAUACUGAAAAAAAAAUUCACAAAUCCAAUGUAAAAAAAAAAAAGUUAAAUAACUAAUAGUCACGAUUUCUGUUUUGUUUGGUAGUCUUAUAGCUAUAAAACAUUGUUGAUAUUCGAGUGAAAUGUCAUUUCUUCCAAACAUUUUUAGACUUGGCUUUAAAAGGAACCUAAAUAUAAUAUCUGUUAUCCAAAUGCCAUAUUUAGGCAACUAAGUGGCUCAUAGAACCUGAAGUCAGAAAGACUUGGGUUAAAAUCCAAGCUCUGAUACUUGCUAUCUACAACCCUUGGCAAAUCACUUUACAUCUGCGUGCUUUGGUUUUCUCAACUGUAAAAUGAGGACAAUGAUAGCACAUACCUCCCAGGGUUCUAAAGAUCAAGAGAUGAUAUUUGUAAAGUAUUAGCAAAGAGCCUGGCACUUAAUAAAUGCCCAAUAAAUGCCCCAUAAAAACAAA